GUGUAGAUUUGUGCGUAUGACAGAGCUGAGAAUAGCAACUGAAGCGUAAGAGAUUUACGGUGCAUUUGAUCAGGAUAUUAGUGAAAAUAAAUAGAAUUGUGCAGCAUGGAUAUCAAUGGGAUGACAGAUCGAUGUAUUUGUGGCUUUUUUUGGCGCAGCAGAUCGUUCUGAGUGCAACCAGCAGUUAAUCGAGGCAGUUGCAUUGAAGAAAAAAAAAAAAAAAAAACGGAACUUUAGAAGCGCAGCGUUUUGCGGGGGAAACAUUUUAGUAACGGAUCGGAUAGAUGAUUCUCUCGGCUAGUGGGGGAAAAUGACUAAAAAAACCGUGAAACAUAAUGAGAUAAAAUAUGACAGGCGAGUGGCGAAAUGUUGAACCUUGUUUCUGCGGAGGCGCGGCGUCGGACAGCCGGUAAAUUGAGCGGUUACGGCGGUGCGGGGCAAUUUUGCCAGGUCUGUUGGUUGCUGAACGUCGAAGCAGAUGGCUUGGUGGUCAGUGUGGCGUCGAGUAUUGAACCCAGGGCGUGAUGAAUGAGUGUUUGGAGCUGAUGUGGUGGACAUGUUAAAGCACCCAUCGACAUACAAUUGUCCUGGACCUGCAGGUCAACCUGGUAUGAAGCAACCAAGUCCUGACUUGACCUCACCUCCACAAGGUCAGUACCCCUGCAAGGGGAUAACUCGUCUGAUGACACACCCUUGAGCAUGGCCAGCUGCAUGAGCACUGCAGACUCCGAGCUGUCAGCGGAAAAGACUGCAUGAACUUUUGGUGGACACUGGAGCCACGUAUGGGCCUCUGAGUUGUGGACUAAGACUGUCACUGAAUAUGAUAUUGAGAGAGGAAACAGUGUCUGCCGUUGUGAUCUGAGGGGGAGAAAGAAUUGCUAGCAUCUAUGGAGGACUGUGAACAGAGCCUGCUACAACUGGUGUUCUCUCCAACUAUGGAAGAUGCAACGUCUGGGUUCCUGCUCUUCUUCCCACCUGACCUGCCACACGUCACUCUGUUCUACGACGCACAGACUGGUAUCAUGAUUCUUUAAGGUAAAACACAGACAGUCAUUCUAGGAAUAUGUAUGUGGCACCUGAGCAUUUGGCAGCUGCUACUGCUGAACAAUUUAUAACGAUAUAUGAUGUUGGAUGAAACGAUUUCACACAUUUCUCUUUCUCUCCAUGUUGAGCACCAGAAAGAAGUAGGGGCGUGGUUAAACAUUCCCUUCAGGCAACUGACUGGGCUCCUACCAGCGUGCAGUUUUCAGCUAAUCCACACAAGAUGCCUCUUUACAACAGCCCAGAGGAGGCAGUUCUCAGGAAAAAUGCUCUUAUGGAACGACUUCAACAUGAAGCGGAUAUGAAGGAGAACCACCCGAUUCAAAGGAUGCCUACCUUCACCACAAUGGACUUUGACAAGCUUUUACAGAAGAUAGCUGUUAUGGAACUGAAAAUCUGUCG